rnacentral:rRNA from 1 species
GACGAACGCUGGCGGCGUGCUUAACACAUGCAAGUCGAACGGAAAGGCCCUGCUUUUGUGGGGUGCUCGAGUGGCGAACGGGUGAGUAACACGUGAGUAACCUGCCCUUGACUUUGGGAUAACUUCAGGAAACUGGGGCUAAUACCGGAUAUGAGCUCCUGCUGCAUGGUGGGGGUUGGAAAGUUUCGGCGGUUGGGGAUGGACUCGCGGCUUAUCAGCUUGUUGGUGGGGUAGUGGCUUACCAAGGCUUUGACGGGUAGCCGGCCUGAGAGGGUGACCGGCCACAUUGGGACUGAGAUACGGCGCAGACUCCUACGGGAGGCAGCAGUGGGGAAUAUUGAACAAUGGGCGGAAGACUGAUGCAGAAACGCCGCGUGCGGGAUGACGGCCUUCGGGUUGUAAACCGCUUUCGCCUGUGACGAAGCGUGAGUGACGGUAAUGGGUAAAGAAGCACCGGCUAACUACGUG